UCAAACUUGGUCAUUUAGAGGAAGUAAAAGUCGUAACAAGGUUUCCGUAGGUAUGUAUUAUCGAACCUUGCCCACUUGUUUAACCAUUGCUAACUGAAUUCUAGGUGAACCUGCGGAAGGAUCAUUAAAGGUUUAGGGUACUCAGUGCCCAAACUUCAACCCUAUGUUUUGUUAACUGUUUCUUUGCCGGUUUCGACCGGCAGAAGACCUCUCAAACUCAUUUAAUCUGUUCUGAAUACGAUAAAAAAAAUCGUUAAAACUUUCAACAACGGAUCUCUUGGUUCUGGCAUCGAUGAAGAACGCAGC
rnacentral:misc_RNA from 1 species